AAAAGGAUGGAAUGUGAAGGCUAGAGGAGACUUGGAUGGACUCAGGGGAGCAGCCAGUUGAAAGGCCAGUAGAAGCCCAAGUCUGGAGUAGGGAUGAAUGUUGUCAUUUAGGUUUCUGGGGAAACCUUUAGCCUGACCAGCCCAAAUGAAGCUACAGUCGGCCAGCCAGGACUUCCCACAGCGGUGGGCACCUGACUUCCUCAUCUCUGGGAAAAGAAUCGCUUUGUCUUUGCCUGAAGGAGGGAUGAUUUGUGAGGAGGGCUGUUGA
rnacentral:lncRNA from 1 species